CCUACGGGGGGCAGCAGUGGGGAAUAUUGGGCAAUGGACGCAAGUCUGACCCAGCAACGCCGCGUGAAGGAAGAAGGCUUUCGGGUUGUAAACUUCUUUUAAGGGGGAAGAGUAGAAGGCGGUACCCCUUGAAUAAGCCACGGCUAACUACGGGCCAGCAGCCGCGGUUAUACGUAGGUGGCAAGCGUUGUCCGGAUUUACUGGGUGUAAAGGGCGUGCAGCCGGUGAGACAAGUCAGAUGUGAAAUCCUCGGGCUCAACCCGCGAACUGCAUUUGAAACUGUUUCCCUUGAGUAUCGGAGAGGUAAUCGGAAUUCCUAGUGUAGGGGUGAAAUGCGUAGAUAUUAGGAAGAACACCAGUGGCGAAGGCGGAUGGCUGGACGACAACUGACGGUGAUGCGCGAAAGCGUGGGGAGCAAACAGGAUUAGAUACCCGGGUAGUC
rnacentral:rRNA from 1 species